GGCAUAUGGAAGUUCCCAGGCUCGGGGUUGAAUCAGAGCUGCCGCUGCCGGCCUACACCACAGCCACACACAACACCAGAUCUGAGCCUCGUCGUGACCUAUACCAGGUCAGGAAGUUCAGGUCAAUGCCAGAUCCUUAAUCCAAUGAGCAAGGCCAGGGAUCGAACCUGCAUCCUCAUGGGUACUAGUUGGGGUCGUUAACCACUGAGCCACGAUGGGAACUCCAAAGUCUGCUUUUCAAGUUGAGUGAAUCUGUGCUUCUCCAGAAAGCACCGUUCCCUGGGCUGUGGUCAACUGUGGACACAUCUGGAGCCCUUUUUGUUGCCUCUUUGGAUUUGGCCUGGGUUUUUGUUUCUGUUUUUGUUUUUAAUUAUGUCUGUCUGUCUGUCUGUAUUGUCUUUUCAGGGCCACAGCUGCAGCAUAUGGAGGUUCCCAGGCUAGGGGCCGAAUUGGAGCUGCAGCUGCCGGUCUACACCACAGCCACAGCAACACAGGAUCAGAGCUGAAUCUGCGACCUACACCACAGUUCACAGCAACGCUGGAUCCUUAACCCACUGAGCAAGGCCAGGGUUCGAACCUGCAUCCUCAAGGAUUCUAGUCAGGUUCAUUACUGCUGAGCCACGAUGGGCACUCCUGGAUUUGGUCCAGGUUUGACAUGGACCCCGGCAUCCUCCACUUACCAGCUCGGGGACAUUGGACAAGUGUCCCUGGUUUCUUUGUCCAUAAAAUAUAAACUGUGAGACCUGCCCUGAGCGGGGAGCCUGGAGUAGGAAUAACGCUCAGAAAGCAGCCAGCAGCCACUGUCCCGGGGGAAGCGCCGUCUCGCCUGGACUGCCCUCGAGUGGUGACCCGUAGAUUCUCAGCCAAGCAAGGAGCGCAGAACAGGCCGGAUCCUGUCCGAGCAGGUUAGAAAAUUGAAAGUAAGCCUGGCAAGGGAGAAACUGGGGGAACACUAGCCAGAACUGAGGCCGAUGGCUGACCUCCGGCUUGGUGGAGGCGACAGGCACUAUCCAUUUCCCCUUUGUGGCUUCGCUUAAUUGGAAAGUCCCCGCAGGUGUGAGCCGGGCCUGACAAAGAAGGUUGGGAGACGGCAGCCUUGGAAAAAUAAUUCCACCUCUAAACACCUGUGUUAACAAGUGCUGUAUUUGUACAGCUAUUUUCUCUUUCAAAUACUGUUUACACACACCUAUUCUCUUACCCCGCUCAGGUGUGUGUUGCAUGGCAUCUGGGGACCUGCUGGCCGGGGGCCAGCCUGCCCGUCGGAAAUGGCUCCCCGGCCCCCACCUUGCCCAGCAACGCGGGGUUCGGGGCCCGGGUCUCUCUGGGGUCUGCCAUCGCAUUCGGCACUUGCUCCUGGGGUGACCCUCCGUGUGGCUGGAAGCGCUGACCGGGGGCCCCUUAGGGACAGAGACCCCAGCUGGAUGAAAGCGAGCACCUGCUCUUUUCCUGGUUGGCCCGGGGCGCUUUGCAUUUUCACACCGAGAGGAAAUCUGAACCCCUCAACCACCUGAUCACAACAGCAUCCAGGCCUCACCGGGGUGCGGGCAGCUGCCAGGGAUCCGACAAUGAGGCCUUCAGAGGCCUUGCGGGCAGAGGGGAGGGAGUGUUUGGUGCGGCUUUUUUUCACUCCAUGAGAACUCCAGGAUGCGUUCAGAAUUCCAUCUGCUUCCACGGAAGCCUGUCGGACGGAAUUCCCGUCUGACUCUGGCAAGUGAGUUCAGCCUUGUCUGCACGGGAGACCAAUCAGGACCGUGAAUGCCUGAGGUUCAGGCCCCAGGCCCGGGGACUCUGGUUUACUUCACUUGAAGCGGGCAGUGGGCACCUGCACGUUAACCCCCUCAUCUGUCCAGUGUGUGGUGAGUCAGGCCAGCUUCCUAAGUAGGAUGGCCAGACGUCUCUACAUAGUCAUUUAUUUAUUUUUGCUUUUUAGGGCCACUCAUGUGACACACGGAAAUUCCUGGGCUAGGAGUUGAACUGGAGCUGCUGUUGCCGGCCCACACCACAGCCACAGCCACGCAGGGUCCAAGCCGCGUUUGCCACCUACACCCCAGCUCACGGCAACGCCAGAUCCUUAACCCACUGAGCGAGGCCAGGGAUUGAAUCCGAGUCCUCAUGGAUGCCGGUCGGAUUCACUACCACUGAGCCACAGCGGACACUGCUGCCUAUUUAUAUACUGUGACCCUUUCACUUGGAAUAGCUGUGCCAUGACAGAGAAGUGGCAAAGACAGCCUUAGAAACUUCCCUCGCGUUCUUUUGCUUAUAGGCGGCUCAGCAGAAGUUAUUUGUCUCAGCUAAGGCAUGAGUGGAUCCAUCACGGGUAAAUCCAUCAUGAGCAACUGGGCUCCGUGGGUGGUUGCGGCUUUGGCAGUUCUGUCCCGGGUCCCUUUCCAGAUCCCUCCUUGCACUGACCUGCCACGUUUCUGCGGCCUCCUCAGGUCUGUAGUGGUUUCUCAGGUCCUCCCGGUUGUGUGGCCCUUGAGGGUUUUGAGGGCAGGUGUUCCAUAGAACUCGCCCGUCCUCUGGGCUUGGCGGGGGUUCUUCUCGUGCUUAGACGGCAGGUGUGGGUUUUGGAAGGAAGAGCGCGGAGGCCAAGGGCCAUGUUCAUCCUGUGCUAUGAAGGGAGGUUUAUCCCAUGCACCAUCAGUGCUGAUGUUGGCCUUGACCCCCCGGCUGCCCGAGACAGGGUGUCAGUGUAUUCUCCAAGGUCAAGCCCCCCGCCUUUCUCUUUGGAGGCAAGUCCAUGGAAGUCUUCUACUGGGGGAAAUUGCCCCUUCUCCCCAUUAUUUAUUUUUUCCGUUAUUUAUUUAUCUUGGCGUGGACUCAUAGAUAUUUAAUCUUAGUUUUUUUUUUUUUUUUUUUCCCCCUGUAUUUUGGCUGCACCCAUGGCAUGUGUAAGUUUCCAGGCCAAGGAAUCGAACCCAAGCCACUGCAGUGACAAUGCCGGAUCCUUAACCUGCUGAGCCACAAGAGAAUGCCCAAACUUUGGGUUACAGCCCAAUACUCCAUGGCUGAUUUCGUUGCCCACGUGGAUCCAGCCUUGGCACCCGGAGCUCCGGCAGGGUGGCUUCUGCCUCCCUCUGCAGGGUCCCAUCCGUUUGGUUUUCAGGGACUUCCUUAUCUAAGAAGAAAGAUGUGGCUUGAGCCAAACACCUGCUGGCUUCUGUUGGAGGUGCUUUAUUUGCAUUUGCAUCCUUUCGUAAUAACCGCUCAUUCCUUUUAACCCACUCUCUCUUCCUGUCUGACCCGUGGUUUUCAGGCUUGUUUCAGGAGGCGCAUCACGGGUGGUGGAAGGAGCGUGAAUGGAGAGUCGCUGGCAGACCUCGCGCCCCUGUUCUUCUGUUCCUCACGGGGCGCGUGACCUGGAGCCCUUCCUUCCCCCCCCCGCCCCCAAUCCCGCCAGCCUUCCGUCUCUGAUCUGCGAGCGGGAGACAGCACUGAGCAGCUCAAAGAAGCCCUGCGAGCCUUUGAGACCAGGGUAGACAGUGCCCACCACGUGGGAGAUGCCCACGUAGUGGCUUUGCCCUUCCUGUCCUCGGCUCUGGUGCUAAGUGACUGUGGCCUUCCUGACAGCUCUGAUCCUCAGUAUCCUUAUCUGUCACAUCAGGGGACUGGACCACAUGGUCUCAGAAGACCGGCCCCCCUUUCCUGAUGCCCCAUGUGGGCUCAGAUGCAGCUGGCUGAUGGCCGUGGGUGAUGGGGGGGCAGGGGCUGGAGAGGGUCCAGCCAGCAUGGCCCUGGGAACCUUGCAACCCAGCCGGUGGCCAGCCCCCACGUCCCAUUGGAAUCAGCUUUGCAAAUCUGCCAAAGAAGAUGGCUUUUUGCCCUCAAAGAUAAAAUUUUAUACCGGUAAGGUAACCUGCAGGUCUGGGCUGAGCCCCCGCUGCCCCCAAAACCCCCAAACACAUUUCAUCUCUGAGCAUGCCCUGGCCGGCUGGGCACAGGCUGGAGAUCGCAAGCUGGCUGCAUAUGAUAGAAGGUGACACGCACUUGCAUGCUUCCUCUGUGCUUAGGCAUCUGGUUCUCCAUCUCCGUGCAUCCCUUUCCACCCAGCAGCGGUAUUUGUCAGCUUCUGUCGACAAGUGGAACGUGGGUUGGGGUGUGAGGUUGGGUUUCUGGUGUGAAUUUCUGAGGUUGGUUACAGGUGCCGAAACCAGGGCCUGGACCUGGCUGGAGGUGGGGUGUGGUUGCUCGUUGUGCUUCCUGUGGGAGCCGGGCCUCUGUCACCGACGUGGGCCAGUUCCCCAGAGGAGGCAUGGGGCAGAGGUGGCGGGAGGGCGCUCACUGUAAAGGCAGGGGGCGGGGCUGGGGGGCAGAUCCAGGUGCCCAGCUCCCCUGGUCUACGGUGGGGUUGGUGGGGGGGCUGGACUGGAGGGAGGGCCUGUUUAGAGCAAGCAGGUUUUAGUCUCAAAAGAAGAAAGAAAGGCACUUCCCCAAAAUGGGUCACAGUGAGACCCCAGGGAUCUUCCAGGAGUCAGGGCUGGGCAGGGCAGUGAGUGGACAGAUGGGGAUCUGAAUGGGAGCCCUUGGUGGUGGCAGGCUGGGAGGACAAGGCGGCUUGGAAUGGCCAGUCAAGGGAGUUGGUAACAGCCAGGACAGGACCCAAGGGGACCGUUCUACUGGGCUCUCUUUCGAACAUUUACUGUACACAUUACUACAGAUGUGUGCCCACGCUUUCAUAAAGAUUCAUCUA
rnacentral:lncRNA from 1 species